GACGAACGCUGGCGGCGUGCCUAACACAUGCAAGUCGAACGGAACGGCCCUGCUUUUGUGCGGUGCUCAGUGGCGAACGGGUGAGUAACACGUGAUUAACCUGCCCUUGACUUUGGGAUGACUUCAGGAAACUGGGGCUAAUACCGGGUAGGAGCUCCUGCUGCAUGGUGGGGGUUGGAAAGUUUCGGCGGUUGGGGAUGGACUCGCGGCUUAUCAGCUUGGUGGUGGGGUAGUGGCUUACCAAGGCUUUGACGGGUAGCCGGCCUGGGAGGGUGACCGGCCCCAUUGGACCUGAGAUACGGCCCAGACUCCUACGGGAUGCAGCAGUGGGGAAGAUUGCACAAUGGGCAGAAGCCAUAUGCAGCAACGCCGUGUGCUGUAUGACGGCCUUCGGGUUGUGUACCGCGUUCGCCUUUGACGGAGCGUGAGUGACGGUAAUAGGUAAAGAAGCACCGGCUAACUACGUG
rnacentral:rRNA from 1 species